AACGAACGCUGGCGGCAUGCCUAACACAUGCAAGUCGAACGAGACCUUCGGGUCUAGUGGCGCACGGGUGCGUAACGCGUGGGAAUCUGCCCUUCGGUUGGGAAUAACACAGAGAAAUUUGUGCUAAUACCUUAUAAUGUCUUCGGACCAAAGAUUUAUCGCCGAGGGAUGAGCCCGCGUAGGAUUAGGUAGUUGGUGGGGUAAUGGCCUACCAAGCCGACGAUCCUUAGCUGGUCUGAGAGGAUGAUCAGCCACACUGGGACUGAGACACGGCCCAGACUCCUACGGGAGGCAGCAGUGGGGAAUAUUGGACAAUGGGCGAAAGCCUGAUCCAGCAAUGCCGCGUGAGUGAUGAAGGCCUUAGGGUUGUAAAGCUCUUUUACCAGGGAUGAUAAUGACAGUACCUGGAGAAUAAGCUCCGGCUAACUCCGUGCCAGCAGCCGCGGUAAUACGGAGGGAGCUAGCGUUGUUCGGAAUUACUGGGCGUAAAGCGCGCGUAGGCGGUUACUCAAGUCAGAGGUGAAAGCCCGGGGCUCAACCCCGGAACUGCCUUUGAAACUAGGUAACUAGAAUCUUGGAGAGGUCAGUGGAAUUCCGAGUGUAGAGGUGAAAUUCGUAGAUAUUCGGAAGAACACCAGUGGCGAAGGCGACUGACUGGACAAGUAUUGACGCUGAGGUGCGAAAGCGUGGGGAGCAAACAGG
rnacentral:rRNA from 1 species